rnacentral:rRNA from 1 species
GAUGAACGCUGGCGGCGUGCCUAUCCAUGCAAGUCGAGCGAACAGACGAGGAGCUUGCUCCUCUGACGUUAGCGGCGGACGGGUGAGUAACACGUGGAUAACCUACCUAUAAGACUGGGAUAACUUCGGGAAACCGGAGCUAAUACCGGAUAAUAUAUUGAACCGCAUGGUUCAAUAGUGAAAGACGGUUUUGCUGUCACUUAUAGAUGGAUCCGCGCCGCAUUAGCUAGUUGGUAAGGUAACGGCUUACCAAGGCAACGAUGCGUAGCCGACCUGAGAGGGUGAUCGGCCACACUGGAACUGAGACACGGUCCAGACUCCUACGGGAGGCAGCAGUAGGGAAUCUUCCGCAAAGGGCGAAAGCCUGACGGAGCAACGCCGCGUGAGUGAUGAAUGUCUUCGGAUCGUAAAACUCUGUUAUUAGGGAAGAACAAAUGUGUAAGUAACUAUGCACGUCUUGACGGUACCUAAUCAGAAAGCCACGGCUAACUACGUG